AACGAACGCUGGCGGCAGGCUUAACACAUGCAAGUCGAACGCCCCGCAAGGGGAGUGGCAGACGGGUGAGUAACGCGUGGGAACAUACCCUUUUCUACGGAAUAGCUCUGGGAAACUGGAAUUAAUACCGUAUACGCCCUACGGGGGAAAGAUUUAUCAGGGUUUGAUGAGCCCGCGUUGGAUUAGCUAGUUGGUGGGGUAAUGGCCUACCAAGGCGACGAUCCAUAGCUGGUCUGAGAGGAUGAUCAGCCACAUUGGGACUGAGACACGGCCCAAACUCCUACGGGAGGCAGCAGUGGGGAAUAUUGGACAAUGGGCGCAAGCCUGAUCCAGCCAUGCCGCGUGAGUGAUGAAGGCCUUAGGGUUGUAAAGCUCUUUCACCGAUGAAGAUAAUGACGGUAGUCGGAGAAGAAGCCCCGGCUAACUUCGUGCCAGCCGCCGCCGUAAAAC
rnacentral:rRNA from 1 species